CCUACGGGUGGCUGCAGUGAGGAAUAUUGGUCAAUGGACGCGAGUCUGAACCAGCCAAGUCGCGUGAAGGAUGACUGCCCUAUGGGUUGUAAACUUCUUUUAUACAGGAAUAAAACGCGGCACGUGUGCCUUUUUGCAUGUACCUUAUGAAUAAGGAUCGGCUAACUCCGUGCCAGCAGCCGCGGUAAUACGGAGGAUCCAAGCGUUAUCCGGAUUUAUUGGGUUUAAAGGGAGCGUAGAUGAGUUGUUAAGUCAGUGGUGAAAGUUUGCGGCUCAACCGUAGAAUUGCCAUUGAUACUGGCAGUCUAGAGUACAGUUGAGGUAGGCGGAAUGCGUGGUGUAGCGGUGAAAUGCUUAGAUAUCACGCAGAACCCCGAUUGCGAAGGCAGCUUACUAAACUGUGACUGACAUUGAUGCUCGAAAGUGUGGGGAUCAAACAGGAUUAGAUACCCUUGUAGUC
rnacentral:rRNA from 1 species